AUGAAUCUAUUCAUAUUGACUUAAAAUUUCAAAAGACAAAAAGAACUAACACUCAUUCAAACCCUUUUAGGCCCCUUUGUGCCUCUCUUAAAUUUAAAUUUUUGUUAAAAGCAACUCACUCACUUUGAAAUUGGUACCACGAACUACGAGGUUUUGAUCCCUCAUUUUAAUGUUGGUACGUAGUCACAAGUCCGAAGGUCUUGUCAAACACAAAAAUAUAAUUAAUGAAUG
rnacentral:lncRNA from 1 species